rnacentral:rRNA from 1 species
GACGAACGCUGGCGGCGUGCUUAACACAUGCAAGUCGAACGGAAAGGCCCUGCUUUUGUGGGGUGCUCGAGUGGCGAACGGGUGAGUAACACGUGAGUAACCUGCCCUUGACUUUGGGAUAACUUCAGGAAACUGGGGCUAAUACCGGAUAGGAGCUCCUGCUGCAUGGUGGGGGUUGGAAAGUUUCGGCGGUUGGGGAUGGACUCGCGGCUUAUCAGCUUGUUGGUGGGGUAGUGGCUUACCAAGGCUUUGACGGGUAGCCGGCCUGAGAGGGUGACCGGCAAAAUGGGGACUGAGAUACGGCCCAGACUCCUACGGGGGGCAGCAGUGGGGAAUAUUGCACAAGGGGCGGAAGCCUGAUGCAGCAACGCCGCGUGCGGGAUGACGGCCUUCGGGUGGUAAACCGCUUUCGCCUGUGACGAAGCGUGAGUGACGGGAAUGGGGAAAGAAGCACCGGCGAACUACGU